rnacentral:rRNA from 1 species
UACGAGUGCCCCGAGCGUUAUCCGGAAUUAUUGGGCGUAAAGGAUGUGUAGGUGGUCUUGUUAGUCUCUUGUUAAAUUCUUCGGCUUAACCGGGGGCAUGCAAGGGAAACGGCAAGACUAGAGGAUGCGAGGGGUGUACGGAACUCAUGGUGUAGGGGUGAAAUCUGUUGAUAUCAUGGGGAACACCAAAAGCGAAGGCAGUACACUGGAGCACUCCUGACACUGAAACAUGAAAGCGUGGGGAGCAAACAGG